rnacentral:rRNA from 1 species
AACAUUGCACAAUGGGGGAAACCGUGAUGCAGCGACGCCGCGAGAGUGAAGAAGUAUUUCGGUAUGUAAAGCUCUAGCAGCAGGGAAGAAAAUGCAGGUACCUGACUAAGCAGCCCCGGCUAACUACGUGACACCAGCCGCGGUAAUACGUAGGGGGCAAGCGUUAUCCGGAUUUACUGGGUGUAAAGGGAGCGUAGGUGGUUGGGUAAGUCAGAUGUGAAAGCCCGGGGCUCAACCCCGGGACUGCAUUUGAAACUAUCAAACUAGAGUGCAGGAGAGGUAAGUGGAAUUCCUAGUGUAGCGGUGAAAUGCGUAGAUAUUAGGAGGAACACCAGUGGCGAAGGCGGCUUACUGGACUGUAACUGACACUGAGGCGCGAAAGCGUGGGGAGCAAAC